ensembl:lncRNA
GCCCGUUGUGCCUGUGUGCCCAAGCGCUGCCAGGCUUGGUAUGGGGCUUGUGAUGCUAGGUGCGCAAAUAGUGUAGGAAAGGCUAGGAAUGGGUAAACUUUUUCUUUCCAUGGGGAAAACCUUUGACCUUAGAGCACAGAAAAGUAGUCAAAAGGAAAAAUAAGGCAAAGAGAAAGGCAGAAUCAAAGCUGGGAGACACAGAGGACGUAGGAGCCCCAAGGAGUCUGUACACGGAGAAGAGGCUCUAUGGAGCAGCUCCCUCUACAGAGCUGGGAUUCAUGGAAUUAUCUUCAUGCUGGGGAAAUUAAAUUAUUUUUGUCCUUUGGUUGGAGAGAAAAAUAAUAAAAUAUUGUCAGAAUAUUACUGAAACAAUAAAUAUUUUUUUCUGAGUUUGGAAACAGAAGGUGAAACAUUAAGUGUAAUGAGAAAUUAAAUACUCCACUGGACUCUAAAGCUUUGUAAUACUGAAACCUAAAGACAACAGCUUAAAAACAUCAACUUUGCAAUGUCAAUAUUAUUUUAUGGAAAAGAUCAGUUAGUGUGUUAGUUCACAACCAUAAAUGGUGCCCAUUUGCACUCUGAUAAUAAAAACCACAACUGAGCUCUGUCUUGCUCCCACCAUCCUUAAGUCCCAUUCACUCCUCAUACACAGGUGGUAUGGAAAAUUCCCUCCCAAUGGAAGAAGAUGUUGAGAACAAAACAAAUAAAUGGAGUAUAAUCAUAAACAUACCAAGAAGCAUCAUGCCGACUGCAUUAUAUAUUUUCAUACUUAAUUAAAAGAAAAUCUGCCUUUGGGUAUCUGUUAGAAGAACAGAACCCUGCUGUAGAAUCUGUGGCCUGUCCAGGGUCUGGAACUGUGCAGGUUUCCACGGAAAUCUGGCUUAUUAUUUGCAGUGAGAGCUUCCUUAUCACAAGAGGUUUUCUGCUGUGGAUCCAGCAGUUUUAUACCUGUCAUGAGAAAUAAUCAGACAGCCUGGCUUUGUUUGAAGCACUGGGAAGGGGACUGCUGGGAAAAUGUGUGUUUUCACACACUGUAUGUGAAAAGGAGCGGAAAAGGGAUCAUAUGGCAACAUCGGAACACCACCAAGACAGUCCCUCUGGCAGAGCUCUGGAUUGCAUCAGUGGAAAAGUCGGGGUUUUCUGAUGAAAUAAGAAAUCUGCUACUGGGCAGCUCAGAUAACAUAAAUCUUCCCUGCCUGACAUUCCUGUGUCCUGAUUCACUGGGUGAAAGGUGCAAACGUGUUCCUCCCACCACUCAUUUCCCCUUGCUGCAGCACCCAUCUCUGGCUGGAGUAUCAGGUGAUGACACACAAAACACUGGUGACUGGACACACACUGAAGUGAUAAGCACAGGGUCUGGCUUUCAGGAGCAAUGGAUCUGCCCAGCUUCUGUGAGCAUCACGUGGAUGCUGGAUGCUGAGGGAGGGGAAGAAGAAGCUGUAAAAUGACUACACUCAUCACUGACAGGCACGUGCUCUCGUGAGAGUGAGGGGAAGUCCAGAAAAAAAUGAUUGCUGGACUGAAUAGACAGGAGCACAGAUAAACACAGGAGUAAGCAAAGACCUUAAAAAAUUAGCAGCUUAUGCUGAGGUCCUGGUGGCUACAGUGAUGUUACUGCUGAGCUGCAAACCAGAGCAGUUUAUGAUGGAAGAUUAUUGAUACAGAAAUCAACCCAGUUGCUCAGUGUCUGAGUGAAGAACAGCACCAAAAAGGGCCUCCACACACCAGCUGGUUUUCACCUCUUCACCACUGCCAUGAGACAGUCCUGAUGCUCACAUCUGUGCCUCCACUGCAGCAGCUUUGAGCACCUGCCUGCUUCCACUGAUUGACCAUGGCUGCAGGCAAGUGUGGAAAUACUGAAUAACAACCAAGAACUUCACUGGAAGAACCCUCAAGGAAAUUCUUGAGAUUUCUUGAGGACACAAAUUCCCCAAGGAAACACCUGAGAUGCAAAUAUGAGAACUUUAUACAUAUGGCUGUACGACCCCGUUGUUCGCUUUAAAGUCAGUUUAUAUAUGUCCACUGGAGACCAAGGACAUGCAAAAAAAUCCCCAUAGGUGAAGGCUGUGGCUUUUGAAGCUGCUGCCAAUGACUCCAUGGUUGCUUUAGGGACAGCUGAGGCACAUCUGCCAAUACUGAGAGGCCUAUCAUCUCUGGGUAAAGAAAUACACAGUACUCAUAAACACUGUAAUAGAAACCUUUUCUGUGAACAUAUUGCAGCCAUGAUGCAGAGCCCCACUUCACCCAUCUCCAUGGCUGAGGCUUUAGCAAGGAAGCAAACCUCAGCUCCGGUCUCCUUUUCAGGCUGUAUGAGCUGUCUACCCCAAACCACCCACCACACCCUCGGACACCCCCGAUUCUGCAGCUCAGCAUGAGCCCUCAUGAAAACAGCUCUUCUGAGGGGACAGGAAUUCCCAGCACCUGCUCUCGCUUACUGAAUCCUGCAUUUAAGAGAGGUCACCUGUCUGGAGCAAGGCCUGCCUCAAGAGAGUGCAGCUUGAGCUAAAACAAGUAGAUGGCUCCUAUGGUCUAAGAGCAGAGAGGUAAAGGGCUCCAGGGCAGUGCAGUGCAGCAGAGAGGAGACACUGAUCCUGCUUGGGCUAAAACCUGCACUGACAAAUAGCAGGACUGAGCUGAGCUGAGCUGUGGGAGGGAACACCAGCACGGUGCCCUCGCUGCCCUGGCACAGGCAGGUCCAGCUGCAGGAGCCCGGCACAGGCUCCCAGUGGAGUGGCAGUCGCAUGGGCAGAUUGAGGGCUGGCAGUGGAGCCCCUCUCCCUCUGAAGAGCUGCCAGUGGCAGUACGGUUCUUGCAGAACCUCAUCAGCCAUUGCUGACAGGUUUCAAGGUGAGAUGGAAAAGUAUCAUACAGCUAAAAGUAAAAGAUAUAGGAGGAAGACUUUAACCUCACUCUGCAAUCAUGCUAGCUUUGUCAGAAUAAAAGUCCGAGCUGAAUCCUGCUGCCUCACAACUUCCCACUCUGGAAAGUGCUCAGGCACAGACAUUUUCCAUUGGCUGCCCGUUGCAAGCACAGGGGAGAGACUCCAACAUCAUGUCAGCACAGCAGCACCACCAACAAAUGCUGCAGCAGUAAUGGAAGGCUGUUGUGAUGCAAAAGCAACAAGGUCACAAGAUAUGUCCAAGAGCCCUUGGAAAGGCAAAGGCUGUCAAGAUAUUGCAGAGGGAAGCUCAGAAUUGCUCUCAGUUCAUUAGGUUUUGCCUGAGGGGUUUUCUUCCAAUAUUAACUACAAACAAGCUUAAGGUUUCGUGCAUGCAAUGCAGAAAGGUGAAGGGGAAGGUUUACCAAAAGCCAUUUGUAAAUAUGCUAAGGCGAUUCAUAUCUGGUUUUAAAACUCAUCAAAUAUACUGUGUACUAAGUCACCUUAAACAAGAACAUUGAAAAAGAUCUGUCAAUACAAGAGCAUCUUUUUCUUCAUAGAAACUUUACAUCAAUGCUGGCUAAGAGUCUGUGCAUAAAUUACACAUCGCAGAACACACAGUGCAAUUUCCUUCCCUCCAGGCACCGACACUGUGUUCCCCUGCAGCCCGCCUGUUCCUCCGAGCUUUAUGACCCCGGUGAGAUGAGCUCUCGCUGUUUUUUCCCUCGUUACAUUCUGAUAUUUCAAAGCAUGGCCUGUUCUCACUCCCAUCUCCCUGCUUCACAUUAUUAAUGAAUUGGAAAGCAGACAUCAUUAGUUUUUGGAGACCAUUUCUUUUAAAAUUUACAGAACCCUUCAUCUGAAUCCCCAGAGCCAGUCUGCUGUUCUCAUCUUGGAAUCUUAUUAGCAUCAUAUCUCCUGGAUCCUGCCAUGCAAACUGCAUUGCUAUGCACUUUCCAGCACUUGACCCUUUUGCGGACGGAAUUAAUUUUCUCUUUGAAGCCGGAGCAGCAUGCUGUUGUGCUUGUUAAAGGAAUAAAACUCAUGGUGGAAGAGAGGAAAUAAGCAGAGGUUAUUCUCAGUUAAAUAUAGGCCACAAUGAGUGUUAUAUAGGCAGGCUGAGAGAGAUUGGCCAAAAGAAAUAAUAGAUUGAUGACGUUUUAUUACCGGAAACAUUUCCUAAAAUAGCAGGCAAAUAAACUGAUGGCUAAUGCUCACUGGAAAUUUAUGAGUUUAUAGCUUCUCCUCUUCAGCAGCAUUACCCUUCUUUGCAAUAAUCUGAAUCUGCCACCUGUUUCUGUACCCAAAAUACCCCUAGACUUCUGGUGAAUUAAUGGUUACUUUUGGUGGAAUUAAUCUGAAAAAUGCAAAGAACCAGAAUUUGCUCCUGGCAAUGGAAAGGUGCCCAAUUUCCUAUGAAGUGCUUAAAUCAAAACUCUGUUAAAGAGCUCUUUCUCUAAAACAGUGUAAUAUCUAGCACCCCAAGAACAUUAGUGUCAUUGCUACUAUCCCCUUAAAAGGCACAAUAUCCCUAUAGUACUAGAACAUGUGAAGUGUUUGUUGCUCAGUCUGGGCUAUUUCUUAUUGCGCAGGACUCCUGUUACUGAAAAAUGCCCCUCCCUCAUCUGCAAUGUUUUUACAAUUUUGCUUCUUUACUAUGACUGCUCUAGAGGAAAUUCCUUAGAUGAAGACUUCAUCCCUUUCCAAAAAUUCAUCAGGAAUUAAGAAAAAUUGCAGAAGUUUAUUUCAGUAACUUCUUGCAAAAACCACAAAGCCAGAGAGCCCAGAACAUCAGAGCAAGUCUUACACCUGCACUAUCAGAAAUGGGACCAGGCUGGACUCAGGAACUGGAACAUGGUUCCAGGAACUGGAAUAUGGUUUUGCAUGGGGUGGGUCACCAGUUUAAACAGAUAGCUGACAGGAUUGAUCUUUUCUUAUGGCUGGGCAGUGGUCCAAAUGAAAGGAGGAAAGAGGAAUCCAGCUCAUCCCAACCACACAAGCAAACCACAACCCUGGAGUCCUAUCAUAUCAUGGAGUCCAAAGGAAGAGUUAAAGCUCCUGAGCCAGGCAGGACUGGAAGCAAUUCAUUCCUCUCUGCACACUCCUGCCCUGUCCAUCAGAGUCAGCCCAGAGGUCAGCCCUGAAGAUGGUCUUUGCCUUUGAAGGUUGGCUUUACCUCAUUUAGCUCCCAAACAGACAAAUUUUGACAGCACCAUCCAUGCACUUCUUCCAACACUCCACGGAGGCCAUGUCAGAGGCAUGUCAGGGGCCAUGUCAGAGGCACCCCAAUCACCUCUCCCUCCCCUUCCUAUCUUGCCACGAGCCAUAACAUUGGUCUGCCUGGGAAAGAAAAGACCCCAGGCACAGGUACCUCAGGCAGGGGUAGGACAGUGCCUCAUGGUGUACAGCAAACCCAAAUGUAUUUUCCAGGCUACUGUGCUAGUAACACUGGGUGAGCGAGUACCAUGUCCAUUAUCUUAUCCUUUAACUUGUCCUCCAAAGAGCUGAUACUCACUCUUUUCUCCUCAUUUACUCUUCACCUUCUGAAAACAUGGCAGUUGGUGCAGAAUUUGUCAGCCAAACAGUGUUACAGCAGCAGCACGAGUGCCAGAGACAGACUGGCAAGAGCUUAUGAAUAGCACAGUGGAUGAUCUAUAGCCAAAGCCAUGGGCAA